rnacentral:rRNA from 1 species
GAUGAACGCUGGCGGCGUGCUUAACACAUGCAAGUCGAACGGUGAAGGAGGAGCUUGCUCUUCUGGAUCAGUGGCGAACGGGUGAGUAACACGUGAGCAAUCUGCCCUUGACUCUGGGAUAACAGUUGGAAACAGCUGCUAAUACCGGAUACGAGACGUGACCGCAUGGUCAACGUCUGGGAAGAACUUCGGUCAAGGAUGAGCUCACGGCCUAUCAGCUAGUUGGUGAGGUAAUGGCUCACCAAGGCGACGACGGGUAGCCGGCCUGAGAGGGUGACCGGCCACACUGGGACUGAGACACGGCCCAGACUCCUACGGGAGGCAGCAGUGGGGAAUAUUGCACAAUGGGCGAAAGCCUGAUGCAGCAACGCCGCGUGAGGGACGACGGCCUCGGUUGUAACGUACUUUAGUCUAGAAGAAGACGAAGUAGACGGUACG